rnacentral:rRNA from 1 species
AUGACGAUCAAUGAUGAUAAUCGUAAUGUAAAAUUAAGACAAUCGUGUCAAUGUGCUUUAGCGUGGGUGAUGCUUUACCUGGAGGUUGGCCCACCCCUUGGUGAUGUCGGCGCGCUCCGAGUCGGUCUCGCCGACGUACGCCCACACGACGCGCCGCUUCUUCACGGGGUCGUAGAAGGACUUGGACGCGUAGUACUUGCCCCAGUCGUACCGCAGCCCGACGCCGAGCUCGAGCUCCGUGUCGAUCGGCGUCCACUUGUUGGCGGCGGCGUCGAACCGGCCCAGCGAGUACCAGUCGUGCCGGUCGUCGUCGCUGCUCUCCUUGAGCACGUAGAGCACGUCCUCGGCGGUCGAGUUGUACAUGUCGCUGGCCUUGCGGCCCCCGCCGACGGCAUAGAGGUCGAUGCACUCGUACUCGCCGGUGCCCUUGGGGCCGCGGUACAUGUACCCCGGCAUGAGCUCGUAGCUGAUGAAGUCCUUGGUCUUGUACGAGAAGACGAUGCCGGAGUGGUCCGAGUCGUUCUUGGAGCCGAUGAUGGUGCGCCACGUGCCGUCGGACUCGUCGUACCACGCGGUGGUCGGGUCACGGAAGUCCUUCAUGCCGAUGCCGGGGGGCGGGAACACGACGGGGUUGGCGGGGUGCUUGACCCAUUCCCUGAGAAGGGGGUCGCUCGGGUCGGCGGGCUCCGCGAGGCAGGUCACCUGCGCGAAGGUCUCGGUGUUGCCGGUGUAGAGGAGGAUGACCUUGCCGUCGGGGAGCACGGUGAUGGAGCCGGUGAGGACGCCCUUGAUGUCGUACCACUGGUCGGGCACCAAGGCCGGCGGGAGGUGGCGCCAGUGGAUGAGGUCCUUGGACACGGCGUGGCCCCACACGAUUUGUGGUUCCCAGACGGAGCCCGACGGGUUGUAUUGGUAGAAGAAGUGGUACCAUCCGCCAUAAUAUACCGGACCUUAUAUACCGUUCUGGUAGUACUUGUCCGGCUGGAAAUGGAAGCCGGUGCGCUGCCACUGCAGCAUGGCGUUGCUCCACGGGAACGCGUUGGCGGAGUAGGCCCCCGACGUCUUCUCCGACACGCCGUGCUCCUUGCCCCUGCUCCUCGGGAACUCCGUCGCCGGGGUCGCCGGCACGGAGGAGGCCACAGAUUCCCGCCCCGCCCCGCCGGCCCCGAAGACCGCGGCGGCGACGACGAGCGCCACCACGGCCGAGGCGGCCAGCACGGCGGCGCACGCGCGCCACCUCAGGCCGCCGCCGGCCGGCCGCUCCUCGAUGCCCUUGGCGUCGGCGGAGGAGGACGGCAGCUGCUCGUAGGCGUACGGCAGCGGCGGCGUGCCGGGGAUGAGGAUGACGCGAGACGAGUCCAUGGCGCCGCCGCUGCUGGCCCGAUGAUCCCGAGGUAA